GAUACACCGGCAACCUUGUUUAGUGGCAUUGUUCCCGCCGCACGCCCAGCCGGCUGCUAACUGCCUCGGGAAGGUGCCGCCGGCACCGGGCUUCGUUCCUGCUGGCCCUCGGUGCCUCAUGCCUGCCCAUCUUACCCUUAGCAUGUGCGAGGAUGUCAUGCGGCAAUCGGGAACGACAGAUGAUGCAGACAAGAUUGUUUUUUCCGAGGUCAUGAUUGGCACCGGGAUCUACAGCGCUGAGCAGCAGAGCGUACCUUUCACGCUCGGAAUAUUGGGCCGGACCAUGAACUUUUCCAAGAAAACUGGUAUAAUGUUUCCUACUCUACCUACCCCAAACAGCGCUAAAAUACAGCGAAUAUAAAUGUUGACUACCUGACAUCCAUAAACCCCUUACCCUUAUCUGAGUGUAGUGCAGUUUUAUCUUUAACUCAGAUAUUCUUAUAGGAACCCCUGCUCAUAUCAUACUUCAGGUGUAACUGAAACUCCCCAAGCCGAGCUAGGCUAUAAUCCUUGACACUGAUCAGCUGACAUGGGUUACCUGUUUCUGUAAUAUUAUUUUCUUAUAAAUAUAAAUUAUAUACAAAGACAAUGAUAUAGCAAAAUGUAUAUACACUAAAAUUAUACGUAUAUCUAUC